GUCCGAAGGCAAGUCGUACACGUUGCUGUCCUCUGUAAUCAUAUCUGUUGCCAUCCUACACAAAGCAACACCAGCAGGAUGUGUACUUGACCCGAGUGCCUCGCUGGGAGAGAUUUGCCAGUGGAGCCCCCACCGGCACGACACCUUCCCUCAGAUCACACACAACAAAAGAGGAGCGAGGGAGAAAAAGCUGUUUCCAGCCAAGCUGUUCUCAUUCUUCUUCGCUUCCGGUCCAGUGGAAGAGUUGAUGAAGUUUAAAUGAAGCAGAAUCAGGAGAUCAAGCGUACGCGGGAGCCGGUGUGGAUGCUAUCCACCGGGGAGAGAAGCAGGGAGGGGACAAGUGACCUGGAUGAAAUUGAGAGAAAGAAAAACCCGCGGAGGAGGAAAAAGGAGCAGGAGGCGAGAAAGGAGGGUGAGCAGAAUGAGAUGAAGUAUCUCCUAAAUGUGAUAAUCUCCAAUCACCUCUAACAUCAAUUCGGUGGAGGCCCGGGUUAAUGAGCUCGCAGCCCGAUCAAGCGUUAUGCGCCGACACCCCCGCCUGUUCCUCCCUUUCUUCGCCUCGCGCUCGCUCUCA